AGCAGCCGCGGUAAUUCCAGCUCCAAUAGCGUAUAUUAAAGUUGUUGCAGUUAAAAAGCUCGUAGUUGAAUUUUUGAUUCUUCCAAUUGGUCCAUCUUUUAGAUGAGUACUGGUUGUGUGGGGUCUAUCCGCCUGGUGAUACGUAAUGUCCUUUAUUGGGUGUUGCGGGUAGUCAGGACGUUUACCUUGAAAAAUUAGAGUGUUUAAAGCAGGCUUAUGCCGGAAUACAUUAGCAUGGAAUAAUAGAAUAGGACGAAGUUGUUUUAUUUUGUUGGUUUCUAGGACAACCGUAAUGAUUAAUAGGGAUAGUUGGGGGCAUUAGUAUUCAAUUGUCAGAGGUGAAAUUCUUGGAUUUAUUGAAGACUAACUAUUGCGAAAGCAUUUGCCAAGGAUGUUUUCAUUAAUCAAGAACGAAGUUAGGGGAUCGAAGACGAUCAGAUACCGUCGUAG
rnacentral:rRNA from 1 species